ACGGCGCGUGCUUGCAGUCAGCGGGAAAAUACGGGCCUUGAGGCAGCCAGUACCUUUACCUCGAAGAUGGGGCGAUAGUGAGCCUGCGGCUAAUAGUUUACGACUCAAGUAAAUGCGAGAGUAAAAGAAAAAGAAAGAAAAGAAAAACAACCAACAACAUCCGGUGCUAACGCGUUGCUAUUUGGCUCUAUUUUCCCUGACAAUGGAGGAUAUAAUCUCGAAAAUAAGAAAUUUUUCAAAACUUGACUUCCAGUCAAAGCAAGAAACCAUAAGUAAGGGAAGACCAACGCCAGAUUUGCGAGGAUUAAUUCAAACUACGGGCCUCCCGGGACGGACUACAACACGUUCGUUUCAAAAGGAUUGGUACUCUAAAAAAGACUGGUUUUGUGGUUGUGCUGCCAAAAAUCGACUUUAUUGCUUUCCCUGUCAUCGAGAUCUUCGUCCAGAAGGACAGGAGAAUGGACUUCAUUUACAAGUAAAGAGGUCGCAAAGCACUACGUCAUGUGUCUGCGCGGCCCCGACCCCGUGGUCCGGUGGCACAUGGAGGCGGUUCUGGACCGGGCCAUCUCGUCGGUGGUGGGUGAAAGCUACGAUCUGGAAGUGGACCUGACCGACACGUUUGACAGAUGGGCGGCCCGCAACAUGGCUGGAACUAGGCUGGCGAGGACCGAGGCCUCCUUCUCGCUCAAGUACCACUCAGGCGCACCCUUUGACUGCUCGUAAUGGCUGGGAUUCAGCAAGAGGAAGUUCAAGUUUCGACUCUAUUCCAAUGCUGAGGCUUAGUGCAGAAUAAUAGAAAUGCUGCAUUGUACACUUUUAUACUCACUCGGGCUUUUAUUGCGUGUUCAAAUAAAUGCAAGAAAGUGUGAGCUUUGUCCCAUGUAGCCCAAAAAGUACUUGUGACUGACCAGCACGUACAGCAGGCCAGCGAAUGCGGCAGGAGCUUGAAAUAGACAGAAAAUAUAGGGAACUCGUUCAUUCCCGUGGUAUUUAAGAAUUGCAAUACGGAUGAUGAGGGGGGAAAAAAGCACCUGUAAACCUGGCCCUAAAAAGAAGUUUCAGGAAAGGAUUCAGGAAAUGCUUCUCGAGAAUAAAAUGCAGCAGAGUUUU